UAACCCGGAUGAAAACUCGACUGGUUUCCGGUAAUUAAUUGACGAAACACCCUUCUCGCGCAAGACCGGAAUCCAGUAAAAUAGUCACAUGAUUAAUACGAUUAGUUGCCCGGUUUCCAUGACGUAAUUUAAGAGCUAUAUAUAGAAUCACUGGGAUUCCCAGAUUUGAGUGUUCGUCGGAAGAGAGAGAGAGCGAGAGCGUUGUACAUGGUACAAAUUGGAUAAGUGUCGACUUCCCAAAAGAAAGAAAAACAUUUCCUUGAGGAGUAAGACACUUCUGAUACCUACUUGUGACAUGCUGUGAGCGACUCGAAGUGAAAUGAUACAUGGGAUCUUCUUCAAUGUACUUGCAAGGAUCUGCCUGAGUUGAGGAAUCCAAGGGAUGUGAAGAGCACGAACAUGCUGACUGACUUCCUUGGUAUCUGUCGCUGUGAAGGCACAGAAUUUACACCGGUCUACGAACAUGAAAACAUAGACGGUGAAGCUGUCGAUGAUGUUGCUGAUGAUGAUUGACAUUUACACGAACCAAUUGUCCAGGAACGUGUUAAUAGUUUUCUAGACAGCAGGACAAUACUUAAAGACAAUCAUGGGGACCACACAACAGGUCCAGAAGUUGAGAACACAAAAGAUCCAGAAGUUGAAAGAAUCGGAGCAUUUAAAAGGUUGUGGAUGUACCAUUAAUUGCUAUGAACAAUAUACCACCGCGGUAUUGUACAGUCACAUCCUUGAUAAAAAAGAUCACAGAAAGUGGAGAACAAUACGAUGCAGUACAUAAUGCAGUUAUAAUGAUGAGGCCAAAAGAAAAGGCAGCGUUUGUCGUAUGAAUACCGUUUUAACAAUGAAAAUGUGUUCACAAUCUUUUUCAUAAGGACUUCAGAAAAUGAUCAAGUUCAUGGAAACCAUUGUAAUAUUGGUAAGAGAUAUUAUCUUUUUAAGACACACUGAACACUGAAAAUAUUAUUUUGAAACAACAUUAAAUACUAAACUUGUCUAUCUGCGUUACCUUUGUGGUGGUCACCGGGGGGGGGGGGGGCAUCUGUAUCUAUGUUGGGACCGAAACAUAAUGCGUCAUAGUCAUUCACGUACUCGAUGAUAUGGUCAUCAUGAGUU